UUCCCCCAAUUUAACAUUAUCAGUGGUGACGAUACGUUGAAGCAAAGAACAGUAUUCUCUCUCGUGUGCCAAAGCGGGGAUUUUUUUGCACAAUUCCAUUCUCAAAAUCAAAUUGCUCUUUUUCUUUUUAUUUUUGGUGGCUGAAAAUUAAAAAGCAACAAAAAAAAGAAACUUAAUUUUUUUUCUUCAUCUCACCACCCCCACAUCCUCCUCUUCAUGUCACCAACUGAAAAUUGUGUUUCAAGUUAUCAAGAUCGACUGGGCAGUCCCGUUCAUCAAAAUAGAGCUGAAAGUUGCAAAUGUGGCAGCAAGGAAAAGUCUUGUGUCGAAGGAGAAAGAACUGUGUGAACCCAGAUAAAGAAAAGUUUUAGCAGCGGAGACUAUAGUACAAGGUGAAGAGAGCAGGGGACGGUAUCCCAGCAACCAGUAGGAUCGAGAUUGUAGCUGAAGAUUUGAAGUUUAUCUUAAAAGUCAAACUAAAUGGAAAAGGAGAUUUCAGAAGUCCAGAGAAGUAGGGCGACCCAGAGAUGGAGGAAGCACGAUGGGGAAGAACAAGGAUAUUCAAGAACGUGCCACCGCACAGAGAUUGGACAAGUGUUGGAAUCUGCUGCACGUCAUGCGCUUGAAAGCAGGAAAAGAUCCUUGCAUACUUCUUCUUCUUCCUCCAAAUGCAUACUCUUUCUACUGUUAGUUAUUUAUUCCAAAGUGGGAUUAACACUGUUGGGCUUCAAGUUUCAAUACUUUGUGUUCUUUUCUUUUGCUGACUUUUUCAAGUAUUCAUUUUUUUUUUUGCAGUUUAGGAUUUCAGACAUAUUCAAACGAGUUGCAACUUAAAGUGUUGUCGGUAAUGGUUCUAUAAUUCACGGGUAAGCAGAAGAUUCUUGCAUAACUCAAGCGCCUCCAUCAUGACAUCAAAUUCCUUCAGGUUCUUUCUUUCUUUCUUAUAAUUUUGAUUUGCUUACUAAUAAAGUGGAAUCUAAUUUUGUUGCAAGCAAACUUCUUUGCAAAUUCUGAAUUGUCUGUUAAAUUUUUAUCUGUCAGAAUUUCUUGCCAAGUUUAUUGCUAUCCAUUUUUCUUUUAAAUUCAUUUCCUGUGUUUUCUUAAACUAUGCAGGAAAAAUUGAAAGAGCUUGAGAAAGCAGAUAAUGUGUAUCAUGUUAUUAAUAUCUCUGCCUCUUUUUUUUUUGUUCUUGACCAUUUUUCUUAUCUUCCCUUAGGAGGAACAAGGUGUAGAACAUCUCUUCAAACACUUGCAGGAUUUUUCAGACAAUACGUCAGCAUUUUGAUAUUGUCCUUUAUUUAUUUAAUUAAUUUUGUUCAUUGCAAGAGAUCCGUUAACUCUUUUAAACCUCUAUAUUUAGGAGGAUAGGUGGGAAGAUGGUUCAAGUUGGAGGAUAACCUUUCUACAAAGUUGACAGUAAAUUAGGUGAAGGUUGAGGCUUAAUUGAUCACGAACCUCAUCUUGCACAACACGUUUGAUAAAAAUGCUCCCUACACCGUUCAUUGUGUUAUGAUUUUGAGUUACGGGCUCUGAAAACAUUGUUUAAGUGGCUAAAGCAAAUUACAAAUUCCAUAAAAAAAUAUAUUUUGUUGGUUUCAUGGUUUAGUUGCUAGAUGCAGAGGAUGAUCCUUAGUUGAUAAAUCUAAUGGCUUCUUAAGAUAUGCGCUUUUUUGAUCUAGAGAACAUUGGAGGCCAAAAAACAGGCAGAUUAAAGUUCAUAUGAUGCUUCCAAUGAGCCUUAGGAAUACACGUUGAUGCUCUAUUCUUGAUGAUGACUUGAUUAUAGAGAAGUUCUCCGCAGCAAUUAGUGCGUCCAUCAUUGGUGUAAUUAGAAUGGAGACAUCACUUGGAAGAUAUGGCAUUAGGGAUGUUUUUUGUUUAGUUUGUGUAUAAUUUUAUAUUCCAUGAAUUAUGUUAUUUUGUUUCCAACUUACCAAACGACUACAAGGAAGAAUAUAUUAAACAACAAUGUUAAAAGAAUGGAGUUAA